rnacentral:rRNA from 1 species
AACGAACGCUGGCGGCAGGCUUAACACAUGCAAGUCGAGCGCCCCGCAAGGGGAGCGGCAGACGGGUGAGUAACGCGUGGGAACGUACCUUUUGGUUCGGAACAACUCCGUGAAACUGGAGCUAAUACCGGAUAAGCCCUAACGGGGAAAGAUUUAUCGCCGAAAGAUCGGCCCGCGUCUGAUUAGCUAGUUGGUGAGGUAACGGCUCACCAAGGCGACGAUCAGUAGCUGGUCUGAGAGGAUGAUCAGCCACACUGGGACUGAGACACGGCCCAGACUCCUACGGGAGGCAGCAGUGGGGAAUAUUGGACAAUGGGCGCAAGCCUGAUCCAGCCAUGCCGCGUGAGUGAUGAAGGCCUUAGGGUUGUAAAGCUCUUUUGUCCGGGAAGAUAAUGACUGUACCGGAAGAAUAAGCCCCGGCUAACUUCGUG